GCCUGUCUUCUCCAGCAGCAGCGUCCUUGUUAAACGGAUGUUCAGGCCCAUGGAAGAGGAGUUUGGUCCGACACCGUCUAAGCAGAUUAAAGAAGAAAACGUAAAGCGAGUGCUUUUGUACGUGCGGAAGGAGAGUGAUGACGUGUUCGACGCCCUGAUGCUGAGAUCGCCCACAGUGAAGGGCCUGAUGGAAGCGCUGUCUGAGAAGUAUGGGCUGCCAGUGGAGAAAAUCACAAAGCUUUA